rnacentral:rRNA from 1 species
UCUCACCUACGGGAGGCAGCAGUGAGGAAUAUUGGUCAAUGGCCGGAAGGCUGAACCAGCUACGCCGCGUGAAGGACGAAGGUGCCAAGCAUUGUAAACUUCCUUUGUCAAGGGACAAAAUCAGGCUCGAGAGCCUGACCGUGGGGACUUGAAGAAAAAGCAUCGGCUAACUCCGUGCCAGCAGCCGCGGUAAUACGGAGGAUGCGAGCGUUAUCCGGAUUUAUUGGGUUUAUAGGGUGCGUAGGCGGACUGUUAAGUCAGCGGUAAAAACCCGGGGCUCACCCCCGGCGAGCCGUUGUAACUGG